UGGAGAAUGAAGGGGAGAGAAACCAUGGCAACUGCUUUAUGAAUGGAUGCUCAUCAAAAAGUUUGGAAGAAAUCGAGAGGAAGCAUCUAGCCAGUAUUCCGUUCAGCAAACAUUCAUUAAACGGUGUGGGGUGCCAGGCACUGGGCUAGGCCCUGGGGAAACAGAAGUAAAGAAUCAAUCUCGUGUUUCCGGAGAGGAAGCCAACGAGCUGACUGAUGCUGGCAGUGACUGACUCGGGUGCUGGGACAGAGGGAAGACUGCAGCCAAGAAAGUGCCCAAAGCCAGUCAGGGCGGGUAGUGUCAGCGAUAGGACCUCUGACCUUAGAUCAGGAGAGGAGCGGUGAGUAGGAGGCAGACAGGUGCAAGGAGGGGCGGGGGGGGGGGGCAGGAGGGCACUUCUGGCACAGAGAGAACGAAGCUUGUGUAUUGGGAGAGAUGGAUAUGGUUUGCAUAGCCUUGCGCAUGAAAUCCAGGGCCUUGUGCAUGCUAGGCAAACACUGUCAUUCUCCUAGUCUGUAUUAACUUUUUGUUUUGUUUUGGUUUGGUUUUGGGUUUUUCAAGACAGGGUUUCUCCGUGUAGCUUUGGAGCCUAUCCUGGCACUCGCUCUGGAGACCAGGCUGGCCUCGAACUCACAGAGAUCCACUUGCCUCUGCCUCCGAGUGCUGGGAUUAAAGGCCUGCGUCACCAACGCCCGCCCGGCCCGGAUUAACUUUUUUUUCCCCUUUUCUUUCCUCCUCCUCCUCCCCUGUCUUCCUUCCUUCUUUUUCUCAGGGAAUUGCUGUUUCAUCAGCUGGCUUGGAAUUCACUAUGUAGGCUAGACUAGAUUUCAGACUGUGUAAUCAUUCUAACUUGGCCUCCUGGGAUUACAGACAUGUACCACCAUAUUUAGUAUGACUUGCUUUUCUCAAAAAAAAAUAUUUUUAUGUGUAUGGGUGUUUUGCCUGCAUGUGUGCUUGUACACCAUAUACAUGAAGUGCCCAAGGUAACCAGAAGAGGGUAUCGGUUCCCUUGUACUGGAGUUAUAGACAGUUACGAACCUUCAUGUGAGUUCUGGGAAUUGAACCCUGGUCCUCUGGAAGAGCAACCAGUGAUCUUAACCACUGAGCCAUCUCUUCAACCUGGUCCAGUUGAAUAUUUAUACUUCUUCAAGUUUUCCUUCUGUGGCCCUGGCUGUCCUGGAACUCACUCUGUAGACCAGGCUGGCCUCAAGCUCAGAGAUUCGUCUGGCUUUGCCUCCCAAGUACUGGGUACCACCAUACCCAGCUCUCAGUAUGACAUCAUAAGAAAUAGGUGUUAGUAGGGCGUUGGUGGCACAUGCCUUUAGUCUCAGCACUUGGGAGGCAGAGGCAGGAGGAUCUCUGUGAGUUUGAGACCAGCCUGGUUUACAGAAUGAGUUCCAGGACAGCCUCCAAACCUACAGAGAAACCUUGUCUCAAAAAAGAAAAAAAGAAAGAAAGAAAGGAAGGAAGGAAGGAAGGAAGGAAGGAAGGAAGGAAGGAAGAAAUAGGUGUUCAGCCAGGUGUGGUGGCACUAGCUUUUUAAACUCAGCACUCAGGAGGCAGAGGCAGGUGGAUCCUUGGGUUAGAGGACAGCCUGGUCUACAGAGCAAGUUUCGGGACAGCAGGGCUACACAGAGAAACUCUGUCUCAAAAAAAAAAGGAAAAGAAAACUAUUCUAGGCUGACAAUGGAAGGGAUAUCUUAGUGGUAGAGCACUUGUGUAUCAUGUUUUUGACCCUGGCUUCAGUCCCCAACAGUGCAGAUUUUUUUUUCCCUCUUGAGACAGGAUUUCUUUGUGUAGUCCUGGCUGUCCUAGAACUCAAUCUGUAAACCAGACUGGCCUUGAACUCACAAAGAUCUGCCUGACUCUGCCUCCUGAGUGCUAGGAUUAAAGGCAUCUGCCACCAUGCUCAGCUGAAAAAAUUUUUUUAAAUAAAUUAAAAAUUUGGUGGUUAACAUUCAUGCUAUUACUUAACACUGUGAAACUCUACUUUGGUGGAGGCUAUAGUAGAAAAGCUUUGUACAUCGAGUGAAAAUGAGGGGAGAGUAUGCAUUUCACAUUAUUAAACACCAGUAAACUAUUUGGUAUGUUGCUUCUAGUGAACAUACAAGUUAGAAAUGCUGUUCCUAGCACACAUCCAGAAAAAAUGACCUGUUCGUGGCAGAUUUUAAAUCAAUCUAAAUGUCUACCAAUGUUUAAAUGUAUAAAAAUACAUUAUAAUGUAUCACAUAAUGGAACACUACUAGGUGAAAAACAAAGAAUAGGGGGCUGGAGAGAUGGCUCAGAGGUUAAGAGCACUGGCUACUAUUCCAGAGGUCCUGAGUUCAAUUCCCAGCAACCACAUGGUGGCUCACAACCAUCCAUUAUGAGAUCUGGUGCCCUCUUCUGGUGUGCAGAUAUACAUGGGAACAUGUUGUAUACAUAAUAAAUAAAAUCUUUUAAAAAAAGAAAAAAAACCAAAGAAUAAGUUACUAGGUUUUCUGUACCCCGAUAUUAAGUUUCACCACCAAUGCAGUAAGCCAGAUCAAGCCGAAUUAAAAAGUAAAAGAACAGGUUUAUUUUGGGCAAAGCAAAACUCCCAGGGUGAGUCCUCCAGCCCCCAGAGAUCGAGGUGGGAGAAGGGGCAGGAGAAAAAUCACAUGGCCGGACUAAAGGAGGGAGCAUAAAUACUCUAUAAGCAUGGGAUAAUGAUGUGUCCACCACAAGCUGGGGGUAUGCCCAAUUAAAACACAUUAACUGGGGAUUGGGCCACUGGCAACGUCAGGGGAAGAGCCUGCAAAACUGCCUUGCCUCUGAAGCUGCCAAGAGUGCAGGACUGGGUUUUUGGUGGCUUUUCUUUUUGGGGGAUUCUCUGAGUGGGCAAGGUUUGGAGAGAGAGGAAUGGGGCUUCCCUGAUCAAGCAGGAGUGAACUGGAGGUUCCAGCCAAACAUAAAUUAAUGCUCUAUGUAUAACACAAUGGAGAGGACUGGAGAGAUGGCUCAGGGGUUAAGAACAUUGGCUGCUCUUCUAGAGAACCCUUGCUUGACUCUCAGCUCCCACAUGGUGGCUCAUAAGUGUCUGCAACUCUAGUUCCAGGGACUUCAAGCCCUCUUCUGGCUUCUGGCAGGUACUAGGCCCAUAUAUCACCACAUAACAUGCAGGCAAAACACAAUACACACUUUAAAAAAUUAAUAGUAGUGCUGGGCAAUGUUGGCACAUGCUUUUAUUCCCAGCACUUGGGAGGCAGAGGCAGGGGAGUCUCUGUGAGUUCAGGCCAGCCUGAUUUACAAAGAGAGUUCCAGGACAGCCAAAACUGUUACACAGAGAAAUCCUGUCUUGAUAAAACAAAACUAAAACAAAACAAAUUAAUAGUAUCUUAAAAAAAAAAAAAAACAAAUAGAAAACCACAGUGGAGAACAAGGGGUAUAGCUCCAUGAUAGUUCUGGGUUCAAGGCUCCAUCACUACCCAAAAUAAUAAUAAUAAUAAAAAUAAUAAUAAAUAUUUAAGCCAGGCAUUAGUGGUGCACGCCUUUAAUCCCAGUACUUGGAAGGCAGAGGCAGUUGGAUCUCUGUGAAUUAGAGACCAGCCUGGUCUACAGAGCUAGUUCCAGGACAGCCUCCAAAGCCACAAAGAAACCCUGUCUCGAAAAAAUAAAUAAGUAAGUAAAUAAAUAAAUAUUUAAAUGCACACACAAUAGGUAGACCUCAAGGGAACCAGACAAGAAACAGUCUUGACUGCAUAAAAUGCUUUAGACUUGAUGGCUGGCAGAUGACUCAGGUAGCUAAGACACUUGGCAUGUAAGCAUGGUGACAGACCCCAUCUUAAAGUGAAGAGAGAGAAUCAACUCCAUAAAGUUGUCCUCUGACCUACAUACAUGUGUGGUAUUAUUAGUCUACCACCACUACUACUACUUGGUGGUGGUAGACUAAUAAGUCAUUUUUUUCUAAGAUUAUUUUUAAUUUUGUAUAUGUGUAUGUGUUUGUGUGCAUCAAUCCAUAGGUGCCCUCUAAAGCUAGAACAGAGUGUCAGGUCCACUACAGCUGGAGUUACAGGUAGUUGUAAGACCCCCAAUAUGCUGGAAACAGAAACUGGGGUCCUCUGCAAGAACACUAAGCACUCUUUUUUUUUUUUUUUUUUAAGACAGGGCUUCUCUGUAUAGCCAUGGCUGUUCUGAAACUAGCUCUGUAGACCAGGCUGGCCUCGAACUCACAGGGAUCUGCCUGCCUCUGCCUCCCAAGAACUGGCAUUAAAAGUAUGCGCCACCACUCCCAGCCUACACCAAGUACUCUUAGCUGCUGAGCCAUCUCUCUAGCCACAAAUGCAAUUUUUUUUCAAAAAAUUUUUGUUUUAUAAGUAUAGCUGGGUUUUUUUCCUUCUGCAUAUAUGUCUGUGUACUAUGUGAGUGCAGUACCCAUGGAACCCAGAGGAGGGCGAUGGAGUCACUGGAAUGGAGUUUACAGCCGGUUGCUAGCAACAGCAAAUGAGAGUGCAGGGAAUCAAAUCCAGGCCUUCUCACAGGCAGGUUAUCUCUGUGAGUUCAAGGCCAGCCUGCUCCACAUAGUGAGUUCCGGGCACACUAGAGUUGCAUGGUGAGAUCCUGUUUCAAAAAACAAAAACAAAAGAGAGGGGCUGGAGAGGUGGCCUUAGGCAUUAAGAACAGACUAGCUGGAUUCAGCACCAACAUGGUGAUGGCUCACAGUUGUCUGAGACACUAAGGGACCUAACACCCUUUUCUGACCUCCACAGGCACCAGGCAUACAAGUGAUGCACAGACACACAUUGGGGCAAAACCCUCAUACACAUAACAUUCAAAAAAGGGGGGAGAAUGCCCCAGACUUGAUUGUGAGCUGAGCAGAGGAUACUAAGUGCCAAACUCACUUAAAAUUAGCGCAUUUUAGAGUUUGAAACUAUCUAUCCCUAUGAAGCUGCUUUAUGAGUAGCCCCCCGAAUUAGCAAGUGCUCGGUGGGAGAUGGCUGGAGCAGGAGAAGGUAGGGAAGAGACUUUUUCACCUGAGGAAGAGGUGGGUAGCAUCCUCGGGGAUCUGUGAGUGGGAGGAGUCUGGCCAAGUCAGGUCAAACUGCAUUCAGUCCGGAAGCCGGACUCUUGGCUUGGUGUUUAAGCCCUUCAUCCCUGCCUUGUGCUCCAGAAAGAGCAUCAGACGUGUGCCAGAGGAAGGGCAAGAAGGGCUUUUCUCUCCCCCUUCUCCUCCUCUUCCUUCUUGCUCUUAGCAAUAAGAUCCCACAGCAUUGUUCAGGCUGACCUCCAACUCCUGGGCCAUCCUUCUGUCUUUUCUCCCCUGUAGCUGGUAACACUGAUGCACAAGCUUUUGCAUCAACAUGAUUUUUCAACACAAGACAGGCUGCCCUGUCCCCAAAGUCUACAUGUCUACCCCCCCCCAGAGUGCUGGGAUAACAGGCAUAACACCAAGCCUUGGGGUAGCUUUUUCUCCCUAACAUGUGUUUAUUUGUUCUUUUUGGUUAUUAUUAUUAUUAUUAUUACUUUGGUAGGGCUGUAAUAUUUGUUAUUUAUUUAUUUAGUUUUUUGAGACACGGUUUCUCUGUGUAGCUUUGGAGCCUGUCCUGGAACUAGCUCUUAUAGACCAGGCUGGUCUCAAACUCACAGAGAUCUCUGCCUGCCUCUGCGUCCUCAGCUCUGGGAUCAAAAGUGUGUGCUUCCACCACCUGGCCAAUAUUUGUUUAUUAUUUUUGUAGGGAUUUAUUAUUUAUUUUGGUAGGGAUUUUUCCUUUACCACCACUGACCGGGAACUCACUAUAUAGACUAGACUAGGCCUGAACUCACAGAGAUUGCCUGCCUCUGCUUCUGUACUGCUUGGAUUAAAUUGAGCACCACCAUACCAGCCUAGUUAUUGAUUUUGUGUAGAUGUGUGUGGCACAGGUAUGGAGGUCACAGGACAAUUUCUAGGAGUCAGUUCCCUGUUUCCACCAUGUGGCGUUCUGUAGACUGAUCUCAGAUGACCAGCCUAGGGAGCAAGUGCCUUUACCCACUGAGCCAUCUCAUCAGCCAUAGCCGGGAGAAAAAAACAAAAACAAAAACAAAAGAAAGAAAGAAAAAGAAAAAGAAAAAGGAAGGAAGAAAAAAAAGGAAAAAGUUAAAGUGCAAACACACAUGCACCCCUUUCUAACCUCCUAGUGUGACUGUGCUCCCAUGGAGGGCAGAGGACAACCUCAGCAGUUGGUUCUUACCUUCCACUUUAUCUGAGACAGGGUCUCUCCUUCACUGCAGUGUCAACCAGCCUAGCCGGUGAGAAAGCUAGGGAUUCUCCUGUCCACAUCUCUCAGCUUGCUUCAGGAGAGUAGAGAGUACAGAGGCAUGUGCAUCUGGCUUUGUGUGGCUUCAGAAAGGUUUGGGAAGUUAGGUUAGCACUGGAAGGCUGAGUCUGUUGAGAGGAUGCCCAGACCACCAAGGCCUUGAGCAACAGCUCCUUGGUUAAGGACGCUGACUGCUCCUCCAGAGGGCCCGGGUUCAAUUCUUAGUAUGCACACUGUCAAUAAUUUCAGUUCCAGGUGGGCACCCAGCAAAACACCCAUACCAUGCACAUAAAUAAAAUUAAAAUAACUUUAAAAAGAAGAAGGUGGAAGAAUAAUCCAAGAAGAUUCUCAAACUCAACCUUGGUCUCUAGGAAUACAUGUGUAUACAUGUAUACACGCAUGUCACAUACACAUAUAACAUGCACACAUACACCAUACACACAAAUGCAUAAAGAAAAAGAAAGGAAAAAAAGGGAGAACAUUUAUCUGUAAAAACUCAAGCAUUUGAGAGGCAAGGCAGUAAGACGAAUAAUUCAAGGUUAUCUUCAGCUGCAUAGCAAGUUCAGGCUGGCUAAUGGUAGCCUGAGCUACGAGAGACCCUACCUCAAAACAAUUCAAAAUCAAGCUUAAAAAAUCGAAAGAACAACAAAAGUAUUGUAGCUGCUAUUUUAGACAAAAGUUAAAAUAAGUGCACUUAUCUAGAGAUAUGACCCGAGGUAUGAUUUCAGUAAAUAGCAGCUGUUACUGUUUUUACUGUUAUUGUAAUUGGAUCCCUGGAGGGAUGGGCAGGGGUUUGGAUGGAGAGAUAGCAAAGUCAGGACUGAAGUUGAGAAACCUCAGGUUACAGCCCAAGUCCUCCAGGUCUCUUUCACCCUCCUCCUAGCCUCCUCACAAAGCUUACAUCAUCUUGAGUCUUCAAUGUCCCUCAGGUUAGGGCACAGAAAAUAGAGGCAUCUAUGCCAAGACAGGAAGCAAAGGUUGCUGAACCCCUCUGCCCAGGCUUGCUCUAAGGCUUUGGCCCACUAAGCUCCCUGCCUAUAGCUAGGUAAACUAUGGCUGUAAGACUGAGCCACAGGCAACAGAAACCGAACGAGAAGGCUUCAACUGGCUAUCUCCAUUGCCCAAAGUAGAACCCAGGUUGGCCGUGGCCUGUGUCUGGCGUUCCUCUGUCUGCCCAUCCCUUCUGGUAUCCCAUUUGUUAUUCUUUUGCUUAAAUUAGAAAUUGGAGAGAGAUGGACAUGGACUAUAGAGAGCAUAUUAAUCAGUUUAUUAUAGGGAGAAAGAGCGAGAGGGGGAGAGAAAGAAAUGGAAGAACAAAGCAGGGCAGAAAGUAAGAGAAGACACAGAGAGAGGUCGACCCCUGGAAAGAGAAAGAGGGGAGAAUAAUGCUGCGGGCUAAAAGGGGGAGCUCACACAUGCACACUGAGUCCCUACACAGCACAGUAAUGAGUGACAUAGCCAUGACGUCGUCACACAACACAGGGCCUAAGUAUCUGUCUGAACCUUUCAUUCCCACCUUAUUAUUAAAAGGGUGGGGUAUUAGUCGUGGUAAGUUAGGGAAUAAGGACGUAGAGUUCUCAAAACUACUUCCUGCUGACAUGGAGGGCAUUGACCAUCUUUGGGGGAUCUGAGAAAGCUGAGGUGCUACCAUGUCCUGGGGUAGCUGGUUGCUCCAUUGAUGUCCAGGCUGUAUGGAACUCUGGUGCCUCUUAGACCUGGCAAGAUGUUGACAGAGCAGAGGACAAGGUUAAGUUUAGGAAAAAAUUUUUCUUAGGUCCUGAUACUUGAGGGGAGGAUUGUAAGAUGAGGGAGGGGUUCCAAGGUGAGGGAAGGGAGUCCAGGACCUGGGAAAGGUUGAAUAAUAUCUGGAGUGAAUCUGACCUGUUUGUUUGGAUCCAAUUUGGCUCCCUGGAACUUACAAAAUUUCUUUGAGUUUGUGAAAACAUAAAUUUUAGACACAUUAGCAGCAUAUUCAUGUUAGAAGCGGUUUGGCUGAAAGUAUUAUGACUAUGAACAAGUAGCAUGAGAGAGAGAAAUCUGGAACAUAUUUCAUCCUUUUGAAUGUCUCAACUCACUUUAUCAUCUUUAAACUUUAAAAUACCUGUUCCUGAAAUCUGUUUUGCUUUAAGCUGGCAAGACUACCAGUCGUCAAAAGCAUCAGAGUUCUUGAGAGGGAUAAAAUUUUACCUGAAUUAAUGAUUAAAGAAUAACACAGACUUGCCAGCAGGCUUCAUGGACAGCCACUCUCAAGGUCCUCCAUCCAUGGUUGUGGGCUGCAGGACACCUGCCUUCUUGCUGAUAGCAUGGGACCUGUGGAUUGGGAACUAUAGGAAGACUUGCCUACUGUUGACCCAAGCAACAUGGAGAAAGUCGAUUCCACUGUUCUCUUGUCCAUAGUCCAAAGAGUCCUUUGUAGCAGCUGAGGUGAAGGGCAGGGUUGCUCAUUGGCCAGAGUUGCCAUUUUUGUGGCUGGAGUUUCUUCAGUGCCCACCAGUCUUCUUGGAGGAAAUGGGGUGGGGCCAACAGCUGGCCUGUCUCUCUGUUAUAAAAAGCUUUUUAAUAAAACAUUUUAAAUGCCUUGUUCUCUAGAUCUCUGAGCAUUUGAGGGCUGUCUGUCUGUUUAGUAUCUCAGCAGUCAAAAAUUUGCCUUUAGUUAGAGAAAAAUCCCCCCCCCCCGGCUUUUUUUUUACAACUUUACUGUACCUUUGUAAACCGUUUACAGGAUGGACCGAGUGGUAUAAAUAUUUUGUUAAUUUGAAAUAGACCUUUAAAGAUACAUAGCAAUUUAGAAAUAGGAGACAGCACAGUUUCAUUUAAGUUGCAAAUAGAGUUUGCUAAGUAUAUAGUUAAAUUUAAAUCACAUGUACAGAGACAAGCAGACACAUUAGGAGAUUUAACAAGACAGAGUAGAAACUGCCAGUGACAAGAAGGCAGGUCUGCAGUAGGAAAAAACAGGGGACCCUGGAAAGGGACAGUAUUCUGUAAACAAGCCAUGUGCAACAGGGCCAAGUAAAAGAAGAAAUCAGAGACAAAAAAUAAAAAGCAAAAAAGAUCUGACAGCCAGGUUUGCCGGCACAGGCGGCUGGAGUAGGUGGGCUUUACUACAGCUAGGUCACAUGGUCAAGGGCAAUGCUCAAAAGACACCUAGUCUGAUGGGGACUCAGCAGUCCUGAUACCGAAGAGGACCCAGCAGUCUGAAACUGAAAGUCUUAACACCAAAACACACCACUCUAGGAGCGGGGUGCCAGACCUGACCUGUGGGAAAUGCACCCAACCAGUGAAAGAAAUCAGAGACAAAAAAAUAGAAAGCAAUAAGUCCGAAAGGAUUUGCCAGCCAAAGCGGCUGGACUGAGUGGGCCUGUGUAAGCUAGGUCACAUGGUCAAGAUGGUGGCCCCUGGUCAGACCACAUGGCCAAGAUGGCAGCCACUGUAAGUAUGUUCCCGACUGCUGGCAGAAGUGACUUUUUUUUUCCACAAAUGAGGUAGAAAGAUGUGUGAAACCAACAGGACACCAGAGUCCAAGAGGCACAACAUCCAAAAGAUCACCGUAGGUCUGGGAAAUGAAUGCACCAUUCUAUGAACAGUGCUAGGGUACGAAACCCGAGUAAAACCUCAUUUGUGGGAAAAAAAAUGAAAAAUCAUUUACCUGUUUGCUGGCUGAAACCAGAAAGGUCCCAUAAAAUGUAUUUCCAUGGGUAAGGCUGAAAAUGGCACAGCUCACUGUUGGAACCUGUCAGCCUGAGAGCAUGGCCAAGGGCAGAAAGCUCGACAGGGACUCAGCAGUCCGAAACUGAAAAAUGGAUCCAGUGGUUCAAAAGGAAGCUAGCCUCCAAAGGCUGGAAGCCAAAAUGGACCACUCCAGGAGUGGGGUGCUGGACCUGACCCGUGGGAAAUAUAAGGGAUGUCUUACUGGAUUGCACAGAACUGGCAGAUGAGUGAGUUCCAGAGAUCCUUAGAGAUGGGGGAGGUCCUUCUGUGUAUGUUUAUCUUUCUAUUAGUUGCUGAAUAAAGCACUGUUUGGCCAAUGAGGCAGCAAGUUAGGCGGGACUAGGAGUCAAGGAGGAUUCUGGGAAAUGUAGUAAAAGGAAGUCUUGUGAGCCAGGCAGGAAGUAACAUAGCAAGCAGACUCAUAUAUAAGCAAGGGCAAGAAGGAAGUCCUUCCCUUUUCUCUUCUUCCUGGUCUGUGCUCUGGAGUUGCCAUGUGAUCCGCUGGCAAGAGAGGGAGCCAGCGGGAGGUGUCCUCGAUAAGAUAAGUCUUAUAAAACAUAUAGAUUUAUGAUAAUUAAGACUGAGCUAGCAGAUGAGAAAUCCUAGUCAUUGGCCAAGCAGCAUUUGUACCUAAUAUAAGUCUCUGUGUGUUACUUGGGACCUUAACUUGGCGGUGGGCAGAACUCAGGCAGCUGGGGGAAAAGUGCUCAUGUGACGGCAGGGCUCUGGCGCCUUUGGAGUAAAGACUUUUUGUUACAGAAUGGUGUCAAAAGUGGGAUAACCCCCAUUCCUCGAGGUUCCCAGAGGAAGGGGGGAAUCUUCCACCGCAGCCCACCUUGUUGAGCCGCUGCGAGGCAUUGGAGCAGCUUCCAUACACUCACACUCUUCGGGGUUGGACUUUGCACUCCUGAGACAGCCUGAAGCCCUCGAGAGUUCUAGGGUUUGGAUUCUGCACUCUCACCCUGUGACCUGCCUUCCUGUGACUAAUUAAGAGGCAGCAGAACCCAGGUAGCUGGCGGUAGUGUUAUGAACUUCCAUGCAAACUUCACAAAAGCUUAAAAAGGGAUUUUAGCAGCAAAAGAACAGAGACAAGCAUGACUUCUUGUUAGCAGCAUUUUCUCGGUUGGUCUCUGUUUUGCUAGAGACAAGCAGAGACUCAAGCAGUUCCUUUAAGAGAGGUUUUCUGACUCAGCCUAAGUGGGAAAAAAAUGCAGGGCUCCCUUUUAAGAGGCCCAGCAAGCUCAGUCGGUAGAGCAUAAGACUUUUGAUGUGGGUUCAUGCCCCAUGCAGCUGGCAGUGGCAGUGACCACAUCUCCAAGCCAGUGGCAUGCUCCUUGGAAAGACAGUGGCUAGGAAAGCCACCGCUUCAAUUUGGUGGUGUUGUUUAACAGUUAAAAAACUGUGUGGCCAAAAAAGAAAAAGGUAGGGCUGGUGAGAUGGCUUAAGGGUUAAGAGCACUGACUGCUCUUCCAGAGGUCCUGAGUUCAAUCCCCAGCAACCACAUGGUGGCUCACAACCAUCUGUAGUGAGAUCUGGUGCCCUCUUCUGGUGUGCAGAUAUACAUGGAAGCAGAAUGUUGUAUACAUAAUAAAUAAAUAAAGUCUUUAAAAAAGAAAGAGAAAAGAAAAAGGUAAAGAUUUACAAUAAAGACAGAUUCAGAUGAAGAAAAACUUCUAAAGGUUUACACUGUCUUUAAAAGAAAGAAGGAAAUAGAGUAGCUGGGUGUUGGUGGCACAUGCCUUUGAUCCCAGCACUCCAGAAGCAGAGGCAGGCGGAUUUCCACAGAGAAACCUUGUCUCAGGAAAAAAGAAACACAAGAAAGUAAAAGAAAUAGACUAAUAAAAAAGCCACAUAAAGAUGGAAAAUACACAGAGAGUCUGGAUACUAUAUGCUAUAUUGUUGUCUUUUAAUUGUUUGAUUGCCGAGGAAAGAGUUAUAGCUGCUAAAAUACAUUUGAUUAUAAGUGCUGCUGAAUUAAUCCAACUUAUACAUUUUAAAAAUGCUUUGACUUCAAAGUUUAAGUCUAAGGACAGGCUACUUGGGAAAAGAUUUCUUGCUUGUGUUUCCACAGAAAAUGGAAAGCUAUGGAUUCUUUCCAGACUAAUAUGGUUUGAUCAAGGAAGACCCCCUGAAGCAGUGGCCCAACUGAUCCUACAUCCAAAACAGCUGAGAUGAUGCAGCCAUAGAUGACUACAUCCAUAUUUCUGUGUUUUAUUAUGAUCCCCAUGUGAGACACAACUGCUUCUGGCACACCAAUUACCUCAGAAAGGAAGAUGGGCAUCAAAGAAACUCAUUAUGGAGUUUGCCUUCAACAUGGCAAGAUUAGCCAUUUGGUCAAGAAACUGCUCUUGCCUGGACUGUUGUUGCUGUAUAAACUGGACAUGCAGGACCCACAAGAAAGUGACUGCUUGGGCUGGAGAGAUGGCUCAGUGGUUAAGAGCACUGACUGCUCUUCCAGAGGUCCUGAGUUCAAUUCCCGGCAACCACAUGGUGGCUCACAACCACCUUGAAUGAGAUCUGGUGUCCUCUGCUGGCCUGCAGGCAGAAGACUGUAUACAUAAUAAAUAAAUAAAAUCUUAAAAAAAAAAAGAAAGUGACUGCUUGACUUACAAAACAAGAUGAACAGUCCUGAAGUAUUCCUGCUGAAAUGGGGAAGUGUGCCAGACACGCUGUGGCCUAUGGGCUGAAGAUGGAUAUCCCAACGUUACAGAGGAACUUUGGGUGACUGUCCAGUUUUGCCCAAGGUGUGUGUGGGAAUGUCCAGUAGAAAGAACAAGAGACAAGCUUCUGCUCCUUCUUCCUCACACUGCAGCCAAAGUUCCAGCCAUCCAUGACUCCUCACAAGCAAUGGGAAGUCCACAGUGCUGCAAAGGCUGCAGCCUUCCCCCUCUGCAGAAGCCAUUCCCCCCAGUAUACUGCAGUGUUCCAGCUGUGCGCUGUGUCCCCCUGCUGUUCCUCACACAAGCCCC
ensembl:lncRNA